rnacentral:lncRNA from 1 species
UGUGAUUCUUUCUGGCAAAUUUUUUCCUUUCGGCUGGGAAUAUUUACCCAAUGCCUGUAAAAUCAUUGUACCUUGGAAAAAGUUAACUUGCUUUGUAUUUCAGAGGCUCAGGGGCAGAAGGGACUGCAGCCUUGUCUCAGAAGAGACUUUGGGCUUUGGACAUUUCAGUAAAUGCUGGAAUGAGUGAAGACAUUGGGAAACUGUAGAGAAGGCAUCAUUGUAUUUUGCAGUGUGAGAAGAACAUGAGAUAUGGGGGCCAGGGUCAGAAUAACAUGAUUUGGCUCUGCAUCCCUACCAAAAUCAUGUGGGAUUAUAAUGGGGAAUGUUAAAAAUGGGGCCUGGGGGGAGGUGAUUUAAUCAUGGAGAAGCAUGGGGUUUGGAGGUAAGGGAGUGGGGAGAAUAGGGGAGAUUAUUUUGUGGGUGGGAGUGAAAGAUGAGGGUGGGGGCAGAUGUUUCACAAAUGGAUAAACACGCUCUCCUUAAUGCUGUUCACAUGAUAGUGAGUUCUCUUGAUGAUUUUGGAGCUGAGAGAUUGAGUGAAUACUGCCCUGCUGGGUUUUGGACUUGCAUUGGGCCUGUGGGCCCAUUUGUGUUAUUUUUCUGGGAAAUUUCUUCCCUUUGGACUGAGAAAGCUUACACAAUGUCUCUACCAUCAUUGUACCUUGAAAGAAAAGAACUCCGUUUUAAAUUCAGGGACUCAUAGACAGAAGGGACUGUGUGGCGUUGUCUCAUAUGAGACUUAAUUUUUUACAUUUGGAAUGAGUUAAGACUUUUGCAAACUUUUGAGAAGUCAUGGUGGUAUUUUGCUCUGUGUUAAGGACAUGAGAUUCUGGAAUAUCAGGGUCAGAAUAAUAUGGUUUGGCUGUGUGUCCCUAUAAAAACUGAGGUGGAAUUGUAAUUCCAAAUGUUGAAGGUAGCGCCUGGGGGAGAUGAUUUAAUCAUGGAUUGGAGGUGGUUGGGGUGGAAGGAAAAGGGUUGUAACCGAGUGAGUUGUAGAGAAAUGCCACACCAUGAGACGACUUCAGGAGACCUUUAUUGCCGGCAACUGAGAGACGGCUAGUGCUCAAAAUUCUCUUGGCCCGGAAGAAGGGGCUAGAUUUUCUUUUAUACUUUGGUUUAGAAGGGGGACAGGGAGCCUAGCUGAAGGAAUCUCACAGCAGCAAAACUGGCAAAAAAGUUAAAAAGAUAAAUGGCUACAGGAAAACAAACAGUUCCAGGUGCAGGGGCUUUAAAUCCAUCCAAAUGUGAUAGAUGUGGGGGCUUUGGGUGCUAUCAACUGGACACAAAUGUGGGGGUUUUGGGUACUAUCAACCGGGCGAAGGGCGGGAACUGUGGAUGUAGCUUGCCAGAGUAUCUUAUCAGGAAUUGCGUUCUUUGAUGUGCUGGGAGUCAGCUUGCACAAGUUAAGUCCUUGAGGAAGGGGGGUGGGUAAGGGGCUGCAAGUGAAGGAGCCAAGAUGGAGUCUGUCUGGCUCUGUCAGCUAAGGGAGAGUCGACCAGGUUAAUACAAGGUAGGGUAUCACAAAAGGGUUGGUUAGGGUGGGGAGGAGUAGGUUGGCAGUAGAAUGGUGGGAGGGUGAGGGGUAGUAGGAAGGGGGAGUAGCCUGCUGCAGAGGCAAAGCCUCAUGGAAAACUUCUACUAGGACACAGCACCUGUGGGUUUGCAGGGUUUAGCCCCUGCAGCUGCUCUCACGGACUGGGCUGUUGUUGAGUGUCUGUAGCUUUUCCACAGAGGGUGUGAGCUGUUGGUGGGUCUAUGAAUCUGGGGUCUGGAGGUUGGUGGCCAUCUGCAUGGGGGCUUCAAGCCCAUAUUUUCCUUCCACACUUCCCUGGUAGAGGUUUUCCAAGAGGCUCUGCCUGUGCAGCAGGCUUCUGUUUAGAAAUAGUGGGAGUUGGGGGUGGGUGGUUGUUCCUUCAUCAAUGUUUAGGCACCAUCUUCAUGAUGCUGACAUUGUGAUAGUGAGUUCUCAUGAGAUCUGGUUGUAUAAUAGGGUGUGGCACUCUCUCCUGUGUCUGUCUUGUGCCUACUCCUGCCACAUGAAUCAUCUCAUCGCCCCUGGACAUUCUGGUAUGAUUGGAAGGCUUCCUGAGUCCUCCCAGAUUCAGAAGCCAUUAUGUUUCCUUAUGGCCUGCAGAAUCAUGAGCCAAUUAAACCUCUUUUCUUUAUGAUCAUAGAGAAAAUUAGUAGUGCAAAGUGGAACUAUUAAAUGUCAUUGUCUUGGCAAUCAGCACUCAGCUUCUUUUCAUUCAAGUAUGUGAAGGCUUCAUGAAUUUUCCCCCUUAAAAUGGACUUGUUUUCCUUUACCACAUUGCCAGGCUGUGCAAAGAUAGUGAUAAUGUAGAAGCAGGUUCAGAAGGGAGUAGCGGACAGAGGUCGGGAGAGUUUGGAGGGCUUCAGAGACAAGAAGAUGAAAGAAAGUUUGGAUCUUUGUAAAGAAUUGUUAAACACUUGUGAUCAGAAGGCUCACAGGAAAAUGGUCAGUGAAAGCCCGACUUAGAAGGCUCACAGGAAAAUGGUCAGUGAAAGCCCGACUUAGAAGGUCUCAGAUGAAAAUGAAGCACUUACUGGGAACAGAAGUCAAAGUUACUUUUGUUUCCUUAGCAAAGAACGUGGCUGCACGGUGACCUGGCCCUGGAGAUCUGUGAAACUUUGAAGUUGAGGGUGAUGAUUUACUGAGUAUCUGGUGGAAUGAACUGGGCAGCAAAGCUCAUGAGGUGUCCUGUCUGCAUCAAACAGCCUGUGCUCUUAUGUGUGAUGGAGGAAAUGACCUCUGGAUGAGACUUACAUUAAAUGAGUCCCAACUCUUACAUUACGUGGGAAACAGAACUCAAAAGUUUGGAAAAUUUGCAGCCUGGCCAUGUGGUCAAAAAGAAAAGCUGAUUUUCAGGGGGAAAAUUGAGGAAGGCUUCAGAAACUUGCCUGAAAAGGAGCCCAGUGUUCAUAGACAAGACAAUAGGGAAAAGGCCUUGAGGGCAUUUCAGAGACCUUUGCAGCAGCCCUUGCUGUUACAGGCCCUGGGGCCUAGGAGAGAAGAAUGGUUUCCUGGUGGAGUUCCAUGACCCCCUUCUGUGUGCAGCCUCAGGACACUGCUGCCUGCAUCCCUGCAGCUCCAGCUCCAGCUCCAGCUCCAGCCAUGACUGAAAGAUGCACAGGUACAGCUUGGGUCACUGCUACAGAGGGUGCCGGCUAGAAGCCUUGGUAAGUUCCUCAUAGUGUUAAGCCACUGGUGGACGGAGCAUGAGACUAGAGGCUUGGGAACCUCUCCAUAGAUUUUGGAAGAUGUAUGGAAAUGCCUGGGUGUCCAGGCAAAAGCAUCCCAAGAAGGCAGAGCAUUAUAUGAAACUUCUACUAGAGCAGUGCAGAACGAAAACAUGGGGUUGGAGCCUCCACACUGGAGGCCACCAUCAUGCAGACCACAGAUUCAUAGACACCCAACAACUUGUAUCCUUCGUGGGGAAAAGUCACAGGCACUCAACACCAGCCAAGCCCAUGAGGGCAGCCAUGGGCAUAAACCCUGCAAAGACACAGGUGCCAAGCUGCCCAAGGCCUUGGGGGCACAGCCCUCACACCCCUGUGCCCUGGAUGUGGGACAGGGUUUCAAAAAGGGUGAUUUUGGAGCUGUAGGAUUGAAUGACUGGCCUUCUGGGUUUGGAGUUUCAUGCGGCCAGUAAGUCCUGUCUGUGUUUUGUUUUUUCCUGGCAAAAUUCUUCCUUUUGGCUGGGAAUGCUUACCCAAUGCCUGUACAAGCAUUGUACCUUGGAAGUAGUUAACUUGCUUUAUAUUUCAGAGGCUCAUGGGCCUAAGCAACUGUAGCCUUAUGCCAGAUGAGACUUUAAGCUUUGAACAUGUGUAUAAAUGCUGUAAUGUUAUAAGAUUUUAGGAGACUGUAGGGAAGGCAUCAUUGUAUUUUGCAACGUGAGAAGGACAUGAGAUUUGGGGAGCCAGGGACAGAAUAAUAAAAUUCAGCUCUGUGUCUCUACCAAAACUCAUGUGGAAUUGUCAUUGGAAUGUUAAAGGUGGGGCCUGGUGGAAGGUGAUUUAAUCACUGUGGAGAGUGGGUGUUGGAAGAUGGGGCGUAGGGAGAAUCGGGGAUUUAUGGUGCGGGUGAGGAGUGAAAAUUGGGGUUGGGAUCCUUCCCAAAUGAUUAAACAAUCUCCUUAUUGCUGUCCUUGUGAUAGUUCUCUUCAUGACUUUGGAGCUGUAAGAUUGAAUGGAUACUGGCCUUCUGGGUUUUGGACUUGUAUUAGGCCUGUGGUCCCAUUUCUGUUUUCUUCCUGGGAAAUUUCUUCCCUUUGGAUUGAAAAAGCUUACCCAAAGCCAGUACCAUUAUUGUACCUUGAAAGAAAAGAACAUCCUUUUAAAUUCAG